rnacentral:rRNA from 1 species
GCAGUAGCCGCGGUAAUACGAAGGGGGCUAGCGUUGUUCGGAUUUACUGGGCGUAAAGCGCACGUAGGCGGAUCGAUCAGUCAGGGGUGAAAUCCCAGAGCUCAACUCUGGAACUGCCUUUGAUACUGUCGAUCUGGAGUAUGGAAGAGGUGAGUGGAAUUCCGAGUGUAGAGGUGAAAUUCGUAGAUAUUCGGAGGAACACCAGUGGCGAAGGCGGCUCACUGGUCCAUUACUGACGCUGAGGUGCGAAAGCGUGGGGAGCGAACAGGAUUAGAUACCCCCGUAGUCCCUGUCUCUUAUAC